UAAUGUUAAUCUUUUCUUCCUGCUCUUCCUCCCUGCUCUGUUCUUAGUUGCUCUCAUUAUAUCAAAGAAGACAUUUGGUAUUUGUUUUUUAGGGAUUGGCUAGCUUCACUAAGCAUAAUCUGCUCUAGUGCCAUCCAUUUCCCUGCAAAUUCUAUGAUUUUGUCAUUUUUUAGUGCUGCGUAAUACUCCAUGGUGUAUAAAUGCCACAUUUUUUUUAUCCAUUCAUCUAUUGAAGGGCAUCUGGGUUGGUUCCACAGUCUAUCUUCUCCCUUUUUUUAGGGGAAGUUUUCUUGCAAGUGGAUCUUCAGUCUUUCAGAAAAUAAGUUUCAGUUUGGUUAUUCCACACAUUGUUCAGAAAGAUACACAUUUAUGUGAAUUUGGCAAUUAAACACAGCAUAAUUUUCCCCCAGAAGGCACUUUGGUCUUUUUAUUUUUAAUAAAUUGACUUAUCCUUACCUACAUUUCUGCCAAUUCCCAAAUUAGGUUUAAAGUGAGUCACUGACCACUCACUGCCUUCCUUGUGCACACGGGUUUAUGAUUCGUGUCAUUAUUUCAAAAGAAGGCACUGUUUAUAACUCAAUUUUCUAGACCAAAUUAGAAAUGUGUUUUCAACUAUCCAUAAUAUGGUUUUACUUAGAUCACCCUCUUUUGCCUCAUGUAAUAUGUAUAAGAUGAGUCUUAUUCCACAAUCUUAUUUUUGUGGGUCAAACUUUCAUUCUACCUUUUCCUAAGAAUGAAAAUUCUGAGAAGUCUUUGACUCUUCCCUUACCUUUAUUGCUUAUGUCUGGCCAACCACCCAGCCUUCUGUAAGGUCAGGCAACAGCGGCAACCAAAAGGAGGCAGAUUUAAAAAGGCUGUUGAAGGAGGCUUUAUUGAGAUUCCACUCCUGGUCAGAACUCUAUCAGACCCACAGAGCAGAUAGGAAGAGGGUCUGAGGAGAAACCAAGUGGGGGCUCAACCGGACUGGAACUUUAUGGGGCUUAGGGCAGGAAGGGAGGGCUUGGGACAGGAAAAGGGGUUUUAGAGUCCCUUGUCCUGCUGGAGUUGGUUGGGGGAACUGGCUGAAAUCCAGGAUUGGCCAGGAGACCCCGCUGAUUGACAGGCGGUUCUGUUGGUGCCUGAUGAAUGUUUCUUUUGCGGGUGCCGGCUGCUUGGUGCUUUGUUCCUAAGUCAUCUUCAUCGACUUGACACCUUCCACACAAGUUUUCUGUCCCUUCUAAUACAUAAUACUAUUAAAGUGAAGUUCAAGGUCCAUUUAAACAAUCACUUAACAUUCUAGCUUGGAAAAUCUUUGAUUCAGUCCCAGGUUUAGUAAGUUUAUGUUUACUACUCUAGUCACUCACUCUAUGCCACAUCUGGACCUUGUCAUGUGAAAAUGCUCUAUCUUAGAAAUCUUAAGCUCUGAGACAUGUUCUUUGUCCUUUUAUUUCCUUAUACCUUAAUUUUAUUUAAUUAUUUUUAUGUAGUACUGAGAAUCAAACCCAGUGCCUCACACAUGCUAGGUGAGCGCUGUACCACUGAGCCACAAUCCCAACCUCUCCUUCUUUUUUAUUUUUUUAAGCUUCCUCGGGCCCUCUCACCUCUAUAUCCUGUGUUCUACAUGAAUCACUUCCCAUGCUUAGGAUGCUAGUUUCCUUCAAUAUCCAUUUUCUCCUUUUUGUGCAAAGAUAGGAUUUCUAGUUUUUAGCUCAGCAUAUGGCUGUCCCUAGAAUAAAGGAUUUAUUUCCCUUUGCAGACAGUUGUGACCAUGUGACUAUAUUCUGACCAGUGUGAUCUGAGGCAGAGCAAUUUCCAGACUGUGACUUUAAAAGAAGAGGGUGAGUUCCUUCUUCUUCAUUUCUUCUACUCUAUUGAUUGGAGCGUGAACAUGACAAUUGCCUUAGACUUUGUAGACAAUGACAACCAUCAAGGGAUGGUGGUGUGACAAGAUAGGAAAAGCCUUGUCUCUUAGCAACCUCAUGGAAUAGGGCAGCCUUGCCGGUUCUCAGAUUAUGGAUGGACUGUUUUAUGAGAAACUUCUUAUUUAACUCACUUCUCUGUCUCUGCAGCUGAACCUGUAACCUAAUUAGAAACCUAUUGUCUGUCUUCCCCAGUGGACUGACACUCUGACAGAGUAGGUACUAUGUCUUAGUCACCUUGUACUUGUGUUAGUCUAAUUCAGAGCUAAUUUGUUAGUUCUGGAGGUGGAACUGGAAACAGAUUAGUUUUCUUCCUCCAAAUUAAAGAAACUCAACGAGAUGCAAAUAUACACAGCAUGGUAAAACAUAAACUCUAAUGCUGCCCCUGUUUCCUAAAACUCAAUAGGGAAGGAAGGUGAAGGCCCCUGGGCAGAAGGCCAAGCGUAUACAGGGCAAGGUUCCACCACACUGACGGCAAGAAGGAAGACGUGGUAACGUCACAACAAACCACAGAAGAUCGAAACCAAACCAGUUAUUUGAACAAAGAGAAUUUUGUAGAAUUAUUAACUAGGCCUAAAGUUGUUAACUAGGCAACUGAAAAGGCAGAAAAAGAACACCAGGAUAUUACAGAGAUGGCAACUGCAGGAAGCAGCCACCACCCACAGAACCUGAGAACAAAGGUCUUGCUCCUUUGUUCCUGCCGGCCUUCUUUUCUUUUGUUUGAAGGAUUGAGUGAGCCACAUCCCCAGCCCUUUUUAUAUUUUUAUUUAAAUAUAAAAUAAAUAAGGGUCUCUCUGAAUUGAUUUAGAACCUUGCUAAGUUGCUGAAGCUGACUUUGAACUCUUGAUCCUCCUGCCUCAGCCUCCUGAGCCACUGGGGUUAGGGGCAUGCGCCACUGCAUCCGCUCUUUCCUUCCUUAUUUAUUUUUAUUUUUAGUGGUAAUUGGGAUUGAAUCCAGGACUUCAUGCAUGCUGAAAAAACAAAACAAAACAAAAUAAAUAAACCCUGAGAACUAGAUUUGAAUAUUUCUUGGCAAAGCCUAACAAGGAAACUGUUGACCAAACAGACGUUUGGUUUGUAGAGUCCCACCCAGCUCCAGCACUGCAGGGUAGACCAUUGAAAGAUGGGCUGAAGCUAAGAGAUUAUAGGUUUGAAAUCUGUAUACACUUCAGUGGUAUUUAAAUUCAGACUGUUUCACUUGGGUCAGUCAGCAUUUUAGGCAAGGCCUACAUACCUCAACUACUUAAGGGAUAAUAUGGUGACUAGAGGAAGAGCAUCUUUUUAAUAAAAUGGCAUUUGGAUUGUUCCAGGAGUUUGAGGCAGACAGAGAUCAUAGGAUUGGUGACAAGAAGUACCUUGAAGGAUGAGAAGGAGUUUGUUAGGUGAACAGGGAAGAACAGAAAGAAUAAUAGAUGCAAAGGCCAGAAAGUGAACCCAAGCUUAAAUGGGCUGAGUUUCUCAGGGUAAAGCCUAAGAUACUCUAGUCUGUGAGCUUUCCAAGGACAAAGCAGGACUUAGAGCACAGGGGCCUAGAGAGAGCAGAGGCUUCCCAGGAUAGUGUUCUUACCCAUUAUAAUGAUUAGGACCUUAUCACUCCUUUCUGUUUAAGGAUAAUGUUGUAUGUUGGAAAAACUUAGACAAGUUAGUUAAACCUCUGAGAAAAGAAUAUUAUUCUCAUUUGACAAAUAAGGAGACAAAGGCUUUAAUAAGGUAAAGUAGCACACCUGUGAUCACGGAGUCAUCCUAAUUCCCUAAUUUCCAACUGGACAUCUCUACCUGGGGAUUCUUAUGGAUUCUCCAACUAAGCCUGUUCUAAUAAGACCUCUUUCCCUUCCUUUGCUCCUAGCUCCAGACCUUUCUGGAACUCUGAAAUCAAUUGGUAAUCUCUGGAAUCCCUGGAUUCCUUCUGUUCUGCUGCCAUAUCACUACCUCACCCCAUAUAAUCAGUCACCAAAUCUUGUAAAUUUGACCUGCUGAAUAUUCAUCUUUCUACUCUCUAUCAUUGUUGGUUUGUCUUAAUUCAAAUCUUACUUGAUUGCUGUGAAAAUUCCCCUCUGGUCUCUCUGCUUCCAAGGCCCUGUCCUCUUCCAAUCUGGGCAUCAUUCUGAGGCCAGAGAAAUGUUUCGAAACUGCAAAUCUGACCACUUCAUUCGCCUUCUUAAGACUUUCUGAUCGCUCUCAUGGCCUAAUGGAUAAAACCUAAGCUUCUUAAUUCAUAGUAAGACCACUGUAAUGUGGUUCCUACCAAUUUCUCCAGCUUCACUGACCACUGUCUAUCUUAACAUGGGGCAAGAGGAUAAUCCUGGCCAGGAAAACGAGAUCAGAGUUCAAGUUCCUCCCUCUACUGACUAAGCUAUGGACAGGAAGUUGCAAUGAUGCCAUACUGUCUUCUGCCUUUGGGCAGGUGAUCUGCCUCUAAUUUAGUGGUUGCACCACUUUGGUUCACUUGAGUGCAGCUGUAAUGCAGACACCUGGUGGCUUCAUUUUUUUGUGUGUGUGUGUGCCAGAAUAAACAUGUGAUGACUCCUUUA